rnacentral:rRNA from 1 species
CCGCAAGGACAUCUUAGAGGUGCUGCAUGGCUGUCGUCAGCUCGUGUCGUGAGAUGUUGGUUAAGUCCCGCAACGAGCGCAACCCUUGUUCCCUGUUGCCAUCACGUAAUGGUGGGCACUCUGGAGAGACUGCCGGUGACAAACCGGAGGAAGGUGGGGAUGACGUCAAGUCAGCAUGGCCUUUAUGUCCAGGGCUACACACGUGCUACAAUGGCGGAUACAAAGCGUUGCAAACUCGCGAGAGUGAGCUAAUCGCAUAAAGUCCGUCUCAGUUCGGAUUGCAGGCUGCAACUUCGCCUGCAUGAAGUUGGAAUCGCUAGUAANCCGCUGGAUCAGCAUGGCCGCGGUGAAUACGUUCCCGGGGACUUGUACACACGC